ensembl:misc_RNA 7SK 7SK RNA
AGCAGUUAGGGGUGAUCUGGCUGUAACAUUUGUCACCCAUUGAUUGCCAGGGUUGAUUGCACUGACCUAGCUGAUUAGGUGGGUGUCCCCUUCCUCCCUCACUAAUCCAUGUGUGUCCCUCCUGAAGCUGUGUGCUUGGUCCAAGAGGAUGACCAUCCCUGAUAGAAGAGAAUAGCUUUUCAGUCAAGGGUAUAUGACAAGCUGUACUCCCCUGCUAGAAUCUCCAAAUAAGCUCUCAUGGUGAAUACUUUUGAUCAGAGGCUAGAGAUCUAAGAGCAGGCUUAAUACCCCCAAAAGUGUCUUU